rnacentral:rRNA from 1 species
GAUCCUGGCUCAGGAUGAACGCUAGCGGCAGGCCUAACACAUGCAAGUCGAGGGGUAGAGUUCUUCGGGACUUGAGACCGGCGCACGGGUGCGUAACGCGUAUGCAAUCUACCUUAUACAGGGGAAUAGCCCAGAGAAAUUUGGAUUAAUGCCCCAUAGUAUUAUGAAAUCGCAUGGUUUUAUAAUUAAAGUUCCAACGGUAUAAGAUGAGCAUGCGUCCCAUUAGUUAGUUGGUAAGGUAACGGCUUACCAAGACAAUGAUGGGUAGGGGUCCUGAGAGGGAGAUCCCCCACACUGGUACUGAGACACGGACCAGACUCCUACGGGAGGCAGCAGUGAGGAAUAUUGGUCAAUGGUCGCAAGACUGAACCAGCCAUGCCGCGUGCAGGAAGACGGUCCUAUGGAUUGUAAACUGCUUUUAUACAGGAAGAAACCCUCCCACGUGUGGGAGCUUGACGGUACUGUAGGAAUAAGGAUCGGCUAACUCCGUG